UCGUCUUUCUGCAUAUGGUUGUUAUGUGUCCAACAACCAGAUCAGAAAGUCGA
rnacentral:pre_miRNA from 1 species